AUUGAACGCUGGCGGCAGGCCUAACACAUGCAAGUCGAACGAGUGCCGGACGGGUGAGUAAUGUCUGGGAAACUGCCCGCUGGAGGGGGAUAACUACUGGAAACGGUAGCUAAUACCCCGUACCAUCGGAUGUGCCCACAUGGGAUUAGCUAGUAGGUGGGGUAAAGGCUCACCCAGCCGACGAUCCCUCGCUGGUCUGAGAGGAUGACCAGCCACACUGGAACUGAGACACGGUCCAGACUCCUACGGGAGGCAGAAGUGGGGAAUAUGGCACAAUGGGCGCAAGCCUGAUGCAGCCAUGCCGCGUGUAUGAAGAAGGCCUUCGGGUUGUAAAGUACUGUCAGCGGGGAGGCGUUACCCGAAGAGGAAGCACCGGCUAACUCCGUGCCAGCAGCCGCGGUAAUAC
rnacentral:rRNA from 1 species